AUUGAACGCUGGCGGCAGGCUUAACACAUGCAAGUCGAGCGGGGUGAUGGUGCUUGCACUAUCACUUAGCGGCGGACGGGUGAGUAAUGCUUAGGAAUCUGCCUAUUAGCGGGGGACAACAUCUCGAAAGGGAUGCUAAUACCGCAUACGUCCUACGGGAGAAAGCAGGGGAUCACUUGUGACCUUGCGCUAAUAGAUGAGCCUAAGUCGGAUUAGCUAGUUGGUGGGGUAAAGGCCUACCAAGGCGACGAUCUGUAGCGGGUCUGAGAGGAUGAUCCGCCACACUGGGAAUGAGACACGGCCCAGACUCCUACGGGAGGCAGCAGUGGGGAAUUUUGGACAAUGGGCGAAAGCCUGAUCCAGCAAUGCCGCGUGUGUGAAGAAGGCCUUCGGGUUGUAAAGCACUUUUGUCCGGAAAGAAAUGGCUCUGGUUAAUACCUGGGGUCGAUGACGGUACCGGAAGAAUAAGGACCGGCUAACUACGUGCCAGCCGCCGCAGUAA
rnacentral:rRNA from 1 species